rnacentral:rRNA from 1 species
AUUGAACGCUGGCGGCAGGCCUAACACAUGCAGGUCGAGCGGUAGAGAGAAGCUUGCUUCUCUUGAGAGCGGCGGACGGGUGAGUAAAGCCUAGGAAUCUGCCUGGUAGUGGGGGAUAACGUUCGGAAACGGACGCUAAUACCGCAUACGUCCUACGGGAGAAAGCAGGGGAUCUUCGGGCCUUGCGCUAUCAGAUGAGCCUAGGUCGGAUUAGCUAGUUGGUGAGGUAAUGGCUCACCAAGGCGACGAUCCGUAACUGGUCUGAGAGGAUGAUCAGUCACACUGGAACUGAGACACGGUCUAGACUCCUACGGGAGGCAGCAGUGGGGAAUAUUGGACAAUGGGCGAAAGCCUGAUCCAGCCAUGCCGCGUGUGUGAAGAAGGUCUUCGGAUCGUAAAGCACUUUAAGUUGGGAGGAAGGGCAUUAACCUAAUACGUUAGUGUUUUGACGUUACCGACAGAAUAAGCACCGGCUAACUCUGUGCCAGCCGCCGCAGUAA